rnacentral:rRNA from 2 species
AAAUUGAAGAGUUUGAUCAUGGCUCAGAUUGAACGCUGGCGGCAGGCCUAACACAUGCAAGUCGAACGGUAACAGGAAGCAGCUUGCUGCUUCGCUGACGAGUGGCGGACGGGUGAGUAAUGUCUGGGAAACUGCCUGAUGGAGGGGGAUAACUACUGGAAACGGUGGCUAAUACCGCAUAACGUCGCAAGACCAAAGAGGGGGACCUUCGGGCCUCUUGCCAUCAGAUGUGCCCAGAUGGGAUUAGCUGGUUGGUGAGGUAACGGCUCACCAAGGCGACGAUCCCUAGCUGGUCUGAGAGGAUGACCAGCCACACUGGAACUGAGACACGGUCCAGACUCCUACGGGAGGCAGCAGUGGGGAAUAUUGCACAAUGGGCGCAAGCCUGAUGCAGCCAUGCCGCGUGUAUGAAGAAGGCCUUCGGGUUGUAAAGUACUUUCAGCGGGGAGGAAGGUGUUGUGGUUAAUAACUGCAGCAAUUGACGUUACCCGCAGAAGA